AUUAUAUAAUAAAAAGAAAAAAUUAAGAUUAUUUAGGAUUUGUAUGUAAUUUGAAGAGAAAUAUUUGGAACAUAUUGUGUCGUGAAAUACUAUUCAACAUAUCAUCACCAAAGCACCAAUAAUACUCUUGGAAUAUUUUCUUUCUAUUCAUUUCAACAUCUUCUCACUAAUUUUCUACCAAAAUAUGGCUAUGCGUACUUAAAUUUUAAUCUAAAUUUUCUUUCGAUAAUCUAUAAUAAUUAUUUUUUUAAUAAGUAUUACCUUGCUAUCCUCAUGAAUUAUCUAUUUACUUUGCCAUCCAUAUGGCUAAGAUUUGAAACUUAUCUUUACUCUUAAUAAGUUUUAUCAGCUGAACCAACUCGCUUAGUGAUGUAGAUAUUUGAUUUGAGAAGUGUCCUAAUAUCUUGACAUUAACAUAGAAAAAGAAAAUUGCCGUCAAAAUCGUUUUAUUAAAUGUUUAAAAAAGUAUGCAUAAGUCAUUAAAAAAAGCUAAAAUUAACGUGGCUAAGAUAAUGACAAGGAGUGACAAAAGAUUCGUUGUGAUGUUCGUCAUUUUGUUUUACAAAUUAUUAUUUUUCUUUUUUUGGGUUAGUAAGUUAGGAUAUUAGACCAAUAGACCUUUGGUCUAAUGGAAAAAGUUUUAUAUUUAUAAUGUUGAGUACAAAGAAUCGAGUCUCUAUAAGAGUUUUAUGAAGGUUAAUUUCAGUACUCUCUCAAUUAUUAACAUAAUUGAGUGGAGACAAUCUUUUUCUUACGAAAUAUUAGUAGAGUAGGCAUCCCUCGAAUAUUAGAGAGGGUUUAAAAUAUUUGGACAAGUACUUUAGUGUGUUAAUGUAUGACGGUGGUUCCAGUUAUAUAAUAUAAUUAUAAAUAUUAAUUAUAAUAUCUGAUAUAAUAUCGAUAACAUCUGUAUAUAACAUACUUAAAAAAACUUAGGAUAUUAGAUUUUCAUUUUUAUGGGUGUCGACAUAUUGCAACCAAAGCUUGCUAGAUUACAUUACGAAGUGUUUAAUAAUUGCUGAAAUAACUGUAGAAUGAGCCCAUUAUGUCAUCAUCUAUAUUUUUGUACUCUACCUCUGACAUUCAUCUGGAUUUACUAUAAUACCCAUUGUUUUCGCAUUAUUGAGUUACGUGCGAAACUCCAAUUCUUUUGCAACUUCCUAAUUAAUUUAUGUUCACGUUUUUUUUUUCCUGUAAAAUAGAGAAUUCUCAUCAAAUAUUGCGGAAAUAUUUAUGGAACUACGGUUCUUGAGAUAUGGCUAAUCGAAGUCAUGUUUAGGUCAAAUUAACUUUUAUAUAACAUGCAACGAAUUCAACUCAACUAUCUAUAAAGAUAAAUCAAUCCCUUUAAUAGAUAGUAUAUAUUAAAUUUAAGUUACGUUCACAUUCACUCCCACCUAUGUACAUGUUAUUAUAUUAGAGCUCUAAUAUUUAAUAUUUUCUUGAAGCUUUUUAUAGAUAAAUUUUUUUUAUAAUUUUAAAAUACCACGUCAGUCACACGACUCAAAAUAUUUAUGUGUACUUAUAAAAGAUUAUUACGACACGAAAUUUGAGAAGAGAGAGACAUUCAAUCGACAGGCAAAUACCGUGAGGAUAUUUCAGUAAUUACGGGAUGAAAGUACUUUAAAUGAUCUGCAGAAUGCAACAAGCCUUCCCAAGCCUCGAGUCAAAUCUGUGUAAAAAGGCUAGCUGGUAGCUGCAGCAUUUUUGAUGCGACAGGACGAUUGAAAACGAGGACAUGAUUAGAUUCGAAGACACGGUAUCGGUGACGAUGAGUGUAGUUUUCAGAAAGAGCGCGUACGUGUUUCGACAAUUUGCAUGCUUGUUCGUCGACCUUAUUUCAGUUCUCACGUCAGCUCUCCGAUACUACGGCAUGCUCCAGCGGCGCCGAUCCACCGUGUUAUACGGCAGCAGGUACCACGAUUACUUCCCCACGUCAUCAUCAAUGGCUGCUGUUCGACAUGAUCGAUAGAUCAUCGUUUUAAUUAAUCAUCAACUUCAUUUUUUGACGUGAUUGAUGAUCAAUUUUCUUGUUUUGUUCUCUGCCGGUCGAUGAUAUGCUGCAGUAGGAAUUAAAUUCAAUGCCAUGAUGAUUGAUUUAAGUUUAAUAAUUCCGCUUAUUAUUAUAUUAUAUGGUUUGUAUAAUAAGAUGGAUAUUUCAAAUUUGUCUAGGUAAUUUGCCUUCUUUUAAAUGUAAAAGUGCAGUUGUUGCAUAUAUAUUUUUUAAUUAAAGGUAGGAUCAUGCAUGCACAUGAUUCUUAACCAUCUUGAUUAAAUUCACAUACUAGUUGAUGAUUUGGAUUAGUAUUUUUGUACUUUAUUUAUUUAUUUAUAUUACACUGUAGUGACCUUACAAUUAAGAGUCACAGAAACUAAUUAAAUCUACACAAUUAAAGAAUGAAACUAAAUCUGCUAGUAACCCAGUGUAAUAAUAUAAUUAAAAUUUUUAUCUUGAUCCACAAGUACUAAUUGGCAUGGCUGGUGUAAAGAAAUGAAAGAAGAGAAAGCAAGAGGAGCGGAGAGAAAAGGAGGAGAGAAGAAAGAAAUUAAAAAAAAAAAAGAAUAAGAGAUAAAUUUCAUAUCAAACUAAAUAAUGAAAUUAGAAAUUAGGUCUCUUUUUCUUCGUUUCUUCUAACCAAUUAUUAACUAAAUAUUUAGAAGCUGUGUAAUCACUUAUGACUAGUGAAGCUUAAGAUAUGACUUGUUGAUUCAGCAGAAUUAGAAGGCAUUCAUUAAACUAUUGUAUGUUAGAUUAUAUGAAUUCACUGGACGAGUUUCUUUUUACUUGAAAGAAUUCUUCGUUAUUGUUUAAUUGCAUGGAUUGGAUUGUGAUAAUCUGUUCUCGAAUAAAAGCCAAGAAUCCCGUGACUUGAUUCAACAUGGAGAGUGGAAUCACAUCAUUUAGAGACCUCCAGAACCUUUCAAAUGGUAUAUGUAUAUGUCAUGCGUAUUGUGAUGAAUUGGACGUCUUGAUGAUUCCUUCUGCAGCUGGGAAAAAUCAUGCCGAAAAAAAAAUAGUUUUAUUUUUUUAUUUUUUUAUUUCUGCAGAUAAACAAUUUAUGCUAUUAAGAAGUCACAUUAAAUUUACUUGUUCUCGACUCUACAUGUAUUAUUGUAAUCUUUUUUCAUCAUCUCGUUAUUUAACAAAUCAUUACUGAGAAACUUCCCAAGUCUAAUACAAAUACAUCUUUAUGGAAAUGAGUUCAUCGUUUAAGGCGUAAAAUUUUAAGUUAAUAUCAGAUAUUGAAGUAAAUUAAAAUAGUCUAAUUGAGUAGUUUAAUAAUAGCCGUGGAAGGAGUUAAUGUUGACAAUAAAAAAAAAAACUCUAUCUUAAUUUUAAUUUAUAUACCCCAUCUAGAAUUACAAUCUUCAAUAUACCCUUUAAAGUCAUGAAAAUAUCAAUUUACUCCCAUUUUCUUUCAAAAUAUAUGAAGCGAUUUGAUAUAUAUAUAUAUUUUUAAUCUUUUGAACUAAAAGUGGUGGUCGGUGGGAGAUAAAUUGAAGAUUACCAUUCUGGUGGGAGUAAACAAUAAACACUAACUUACCCUUAAUUAAAAGAUGAAAAAUAUCGAGAGAAUGAGAAUGGUCAAACUCAUCUAGAUCAACAUGAUAUAUGUAUAUAUGACAAAGUCAUUGACAAGCGUAAAUAGCAUGUGCCAGCGCAUACGAUGGACGAUCUAUCGUUUGAUUUUGAGAAUAUUUGACAUGCCUUUUAUAUUACAAAAGUGUAGACGACAUGAUAUAUAUAAAUUUUACAUGUUGAUGAUGCAUAAUCUAUUAAGUUGAAUUCCACAUAAUUUUUUGUAAGAUUAAGAGAUUGUUUGUUUUUUAAAAUUUAAUAGAAUAAUAAACCAUUUAUACACACAUACACAUGUACAUAUGCAUACAUACAUACAUAUUUGUUUUCUUUGACACUGAAAAUAAGUUGUUCGUAUAUUUGGAUAGAAUUAAGGAAAAAUCUUUAACUUGAAAACUAAUGCUUAAGUAUAAAUAUCCACAAUGUUUGGACUCUCAUUCAGCACAUUCUAAAUUUGGUUAAUAAUGUAAAAAUUGUACAUGUUAUAUUUAAUACAUGUUAUUUUAAAUAUUUAUUCUUUUUCAUAAUACUAAUAUAUAUGGAUAGAUAGAAUUUUUAUAAAACUAAAAUUAGAAAACUAAAACGCCAUUAGUUAAACCAAAAGAAAAUCAAAGGUAGUCCAUGUGUCUUAAAAUACUAUUUUUCUUAAAAACAAAACUUGUACGUUGUAGAAAAUGAAAAACAAAAAACACUGUUAACAAUGGUUUGCUAUUAAUUGGUCAAUUUGUCAAGAUGUCCAUUGUGAAAUUUUACUUUAAAUAUUACAAAUCGUUUAUAUUUCUCAACAACUUUACGUCCAAUACUUUAAAUUUUAAUCGACAAAUAGGUUGUAGAUGAUAGGGACGUUUGUCAUAUUAUACUUAAAUGACAUGUCUUUAAUGUGACUAAUGAAAAAAUGACAUAACAACCGUUGUAUUUACAUAAAUGACAACCAUAAACAGUUUGCAUUAGCGCAUCCUACAGAUGAUCUAUUGUUUGUAUUUUGAUUGAAAACGACAUGUAUGUUAAUUUGUAAAUGUGUAGACGACAUGAUGUUAUUUAAUUUUACUAGAUAGUGACAUGUCAACUAUUAAGUUGAAUUGCACAUAAUUUUAAUAAAAAUAAGAGAUCUUUAUUUUUUUAAUAAUUUAAUAAAAUAAUAAACUAUUUCAAUUGUUCAUAUAUUUUUACACUUUUGUUUUCUUUAACACUAAAAAUAAGUUAUUCGUAUAUUUAGGUAAAGUUAUAGAAAAAUAUUUAACUUGAAAAUAAUGCUUAAGUAUGAAUAUAUACUAUGUUAUACACACACAGACACACACUCUUUGUACUCUAUAUAGGAAGAUAAUUAAUCUUUUUCCCUCUUAUUAGGUACGUUCUAAAUUUGGUUUAAUAAUGUAAAAAUUGAACUUAUUUAUGUAGUACAUUUUAUUUGAAAUAUUUAUUUUUUUAUAAUAUUAAUAUAUGUGGAAAGAGCGACCAUUUAAAAUAUUAAAAUUAGAAAAUUGAAAAACUAUUA
rnacentral:lncRNA from 1 species